ACACCCCGCGCACAUCCCUCAGUCGGCCAGUAAACGUCUCAGCAGGUGCACGCAUGCUUGUGAUAAUAAAAUAUGUUCGUGUAAAGUUGCGCAGGAGGUGAUUAUUCUGGAAUUGUUCUCUCUCCUAUCGUUGCCAUAAUUAAAGGACCAAGAAUUAAGAAUGCCGAGAAAAACUAAACACAAACGAGAGCACGAUAGACUUCAAAAGAAAAAAAAAUAUGCAGCAAUUAAGGCAGGUCCUGAAAAGUAUAAAGAAGAUCAGUGUUCGAAAGGGCCGCAGUCACCGAAAGUCAAAAAAUUAUCUGAUAUUAAUGUGACUGAUUGGGAAAACAGAAAAUUUUAUGUUGAUAUAAAGGAACCCGUUGACAAAAAUUUUCAGACCGAUUUAGGGAAAUUUAUCAUGUCCAAUAGCGAACCAGAGCACGAUACCAAAGAAAAUGUAGAAGGAGUAUACGCAAAGAGAGAAAUUCAAAAUUUUUGUGAUGAUGAUUCCGCAGAACAUAUUUUCUAAUACUUUGAGUUAUUUUAAUUCAUUCGUUUUUGAUAUCAUAUUUUCGAAAUAUUUUUUUAAAAGUAUAUAAUUACAUUGCGAGAAGUCUAAUUUUAGUUUUGUAGUCUGAUUCUUAGGUUAUCUUGCCCUAUUCCCAAUUUUAUUUGGGGUCGGCGCAAUAUGUCUUCUGCUUUUUUGUGUCAUCUGUCAGACAAUUUAUCCAUCUUUUCUUAGGUCCUCCUCUUCUUCUCCAUCCAUCUACAUUUAUACCUAGCACAUACUUUGUUGCAUGCGUAUCAUCUCUCCUCAUUACAUGCCCAUACCAUGACAACCUUCUUACUUCUCAUCUUUUCUGUAACUGGCGCUACUUUCAGACUUCCUCUAAUGUAACCAUUCCUCACUUUAUAUCAAUUCUUGUCACACCACACAUCCAUCUCAACUUUCUCAUUUCUGCUACAUGUACUGUCUUCUCAUCCCCCUUUUUCAGUGGCCAACACUCAGAUUCACCCUUGUUCUUAAAAAACUAUUGCACCACUCGUCUGGUAUUGUUUCCUCUUGCAAACAGUUAUUGAAGAAUAAAGUCAGCCAUUUCCAUCCAUCCAUCUUUAAUACCUUCCACACUUUCACUCGUAUUCCACCUGGCCCUAACGCUUUUCCAUAUUAUACUAAUUCUUAGCUUAUAGAAGAAAAAUAAAAGCUUCUGAUUUUUGUCUCAUUAUUCUCAAAGAUUAUGAUUAUUGUGUAGAAAAAUAAGUAAAAAAUUAAAAAAGACAAGAAAAAUACCCUUAUCAUAAGUAUCCGAUCAUUUAGAAGUCUAAUUUUAAUUUCUUUAUUUAGUUUAUUGAAUAUAAAAAUAAAUAUUUCUUAUCCAAGUUUA